GCAGUAUCCUAACUGUGCUAAGGUAGCAUAAUCAUUAGUCUUUUAAUUGGGGACUGGUAUGAAUGGCUUAACGAGAAAUUGACUUUUUUUGUUAUAUAAAUUGAACUUAAUUUUUUAGUGAAAAAGCUAAAAUUUUUCAGAAAGACGAGAAGACCCUAUAGAGUUUUAUUUUUUUAUUUAUUUUUUCUUAUUAGAUUUAUUAAGACUAAGUAGAUUAAAAAUAUUUUGUUGGGGCGACAUUAAGAUAAAAAAAACUCUUUAAUUUAAUUAUUUUAUUGAAAAUAUAUUUUGAUCCUUUAAAAAAGAUCAUAAGAAAAAAUUACCUUAGGGAUAACAGCGUAAUCUUUUUUGAGAGUUCUAAUCGACAAAAAGGUUUGCGACCUCGAUGUUGGACUAAAAUUUAGACAAGGUGUAGCAGCUUUGUUUUUAGGUCUGUUCGACCUAUA
rnacentral:rRNA from 1 species